GUCAUAAAGUUGAAGGAGAAUCGAACGCUGCCGUUACAUUACCGAAUGUUCGAUUGAGGCUAAUUUCAACAGGAAGCAGCGACGUUAAAGCGGAUUAAUGGAGAGAGAGUGCGGUAAAAUAACGCUUCUGUUUUAUUUUAGCGGCAAAGAAGCUCAACCGGGCCUCUUUAGGCGCUGUUCGGCCAUUUAAGAAAAGUUGUUUUUCUGUUGUCAAUAAAAUAAUAUGGUGGCUAAAAACAGUUAGCAUAAAAUGUGGCUUAUGACAAACCAACUGUAGCCAAUGGAGGCUGUACAGAAACAAUUAAAGUAUUUUGCUGCAACAGAAGACUUUGCAACUUGCUGUAAAGCAGAUCAUUCUUUAUUUUCACUCUAAAUAUCAGGCUGCGAACUACAGGGGGGCCGGGGGGAGUUAAUAAGACAUGAAAACAUGAAUUGUGACAUUUUUGGGGGUUGUCUAAAAUAUUAACAAUAUACUAAUUUUGACCAGUAUGUCUAGUUUUCUGUAUCUUUAUCAUCAUGGAUCAGGUGUAAAAUGAAGCUAUUAUUGAUAACUGAUUAUUAAAGAUCACAUGUGCUGACAGAAAGAAAGUAGGCCCACAUGAUUGCAGCUAUGAAAAAAAAAAAAGAAGCGAGCUCCCCUGAGAGCCACACUGCUAAUAUUCCUACUGCUCAGAUACUUUCAUUAAACUCCAUUCCCUCCAAUACUGUGUGAGGUAUCUUCGUCCCUAAAUGAUACUGACAGCCUCAACCAGCUCAUUCAGUUUAAAAAUAAUAAAGAAAUACUGUUGAAAAGCAAGCUGGCCACAAAAAGCUGCCCUACAGGCUCAGACAUGAGCAGCUGCUGAUUAAAGCUGCUGCCAUGAAUUAUUUGACUUAAAUGACCUUUGAAUGAAAUCAACAGACUGCACUUAGAGGAUGAAAUAAAAGAGAUUUUUCCGCUUAACUAUUGGUAGAAAGAUAGCUGGAUGGUGUGAGAAAUUCAUAUUAUUUUGCCAACAAAUACAUACAUUAAUAAUAAAGUAAUUACAUUAAUAAGCAUAAUAAUAAAUGAAGUAACAUUUAAUGAGGAAAUAUCCUAAAUUCCAAUCAUUUAACUAUUUAAGUCCUGUGCAGGAAGCACCCACUUCUGAGGCAGGAAGAUAUCUGUAAAACCAAAAGUAAAAAAAUGUCAGGUUGUGUUCAGGGGAAUGUGAAUUUGCUGGAAGUAUUUGUUGUCUCAUUUCCUCCUCAGAAAUUGGCUGUGGUCGACGGCAACAAAGCCAGCGAUUGAUCGCAAGUAUCAAGAUAUCAAAUGGACGGAGUCAUUGUUGUUGUGAGGGUUUUUUGGGGCCUAAUCCCAAAUUGCAGGAGUAUUUUCUUAAUACUAAGCCCGUAAAUCCAGGGAUCAGGGAGCCUAAAGAGGUGUGUGUGUGUGUGUGUGUGUGUGUGUGUGUGUGUGUGUCUGUGUGUGUGUGUGUUGGAGGUGGUGGGGGUUAAGUUUGGAGAGGCUUCUCGUCUGUGUUGUUGGCGCUUAUUAAAAGCAUGAUGCAUAAAAUCCCAGGUUGUCAGAAAGCAAUGCAGGAGGCUCCGGACAGGCUGCUGCACACUUUCAUUUAAAAACAAAACAAAACACACACAGACAAAAGCAGCCCUGCAGACACAGGACGGGGCAGAAAAGCCCUUUAAAUCAGCUGACGGCACUGAGUUUGGGUGCAGGCUGGAGGAAAAGUGCAGCUCAGUGGGCAGAUGAAGAUGGGACAGAGGAAAACAACAUGGACCAAAUACUGCAGUCUGAUGUGGAUCCAUCAGGAACAGGCUUUGCUCUGCUGAGACUCUCCGCUGUAACAGCUGCUCUGACUGACUGACUGACACCCGAGGAGCCGCGGGAGAAACAGGAAAUGAGAAAACGACUCGUCAUUCAGUGUCAAGUACAGUGCAGACAGCGGGGAGGGCUCACACGGUGGAGAGCGCUGAGAGAGGAGCUGUCAAUCACCAGCCCCGUGGCCCCGCCCCUCUCAUUAAGAAGACAAACAAUGAAGAAGAAGAAGAAGAAGAAGAAGAAGAAGAAGGGGAGGGAGAAAUCAGACGCCAGAGCCCCCAUCCAGUACCCAUCACCCCCUGCAACACAGAGCCUCCAUGAAUACACACACAUACACACAGCGUGGCCUUCGGCGGGCGGAGACAUCGACACUCAAGCCACGUCCAAAGGAGGAUGCACCCGCUUCUCCCCUCGGCCGACAUUGCGAAGGUCUCUUCUGCCUUAAUCCUCUUUGACUUUAUUCAUGCAAAGGUCAUCUCUGUUUCUGGAAAUGGAGGAUGGUUGUGGAGGGUCUCCGAGCUGAAGAGCCAUGGAAGAGCCUGGAAGACGCUGUGUGUGUGUGUGUGUGUGUGUAUGUGUGAUUUCAGGAUCAUUAGUCACCAAUAAAGCCUGAUACGUGAUCUCAGAGAUUGCUGCCUGUUCCUGGAAAAGAUACUGCUGUCAUUGUGUUUCCCCAGCAGAUAUUAGACACCUCGUGUUUUGGACAUUUUGGGAUUGUUUUAUUUUCAACUGAUUGAUUGGCAAUCUGCCGAUGUAACCGGGCACGGAUGGCUUCAUCAGAUGACAGCAAUUCAGAGUUUCCUCUUGUUAAAGGAUGAGUGUGUAGGAUUUAAUGAGAGUUUAGUAAGAUUGCAACCAACUGAGUACUGUUCGCGUUUAAGUGUGUGCGAGAAACGACGGUGAACAUGAAACAGUGUUUACUUUGUCUGUUAGAUAAAAACUUUCUAAGAUAACAAAAACACAACGAUUCCUAUAUUCAGGUGAUUAAACACUAAUGAAAACAAACCUAUGAAUAUUAUACUACAUUCCUCAAUGUUUCACACUGGACCUUGAAUUCACUUUGGCCGAAUGAAACACAUCUUGGAGUUUGGGGCUUUGAAGUGUUAUGAAUCUUUUCUUGCCAAGACACGUCCUGCGUUGGUGAUUGUUGGAAGGUUUUGAUGAGUUGUAUUUUGGUUUCUGUCUCUCUGCUUUGGUGUGAGAUGCUGAUGCUUUAAUGUGACAUUCAGUGUCAAGUGAAUUUAUAUAUGACCUUCGAACUGAACUUCCCGUUAGCAACCAAACACCAAAAGCAAAUGUUUGAAAGAAGUGAUGUAAAAUCCUCCCUCUUUAGUUUAAAGUUCAGGUUUUCCACCUGGUUUUAUUUUGCUGUUCUAAGUGAAGGAAGGUUGAACGGAGGUUUGAAGCGGACACCACUGAUUGGUCGUUAUUUAAUACUGAAUUAAAGGCAAAAUAAGUCCUAACAUUGGCUUGUUAUUCUGGGCCGCCAAUACAUCAGUUGAAGCCUAAUUACAUGAAGUGCUGCAGCACCCAGAGGGGAGCCACGCACCAGCAGCCAUGUAAAACAGAGGAAACACACAGCAGAGAAGUGGCAGUCAAUUUAGCCCGAGUGCAAAAGAGAAAAGGUCACUUCUCAGCAGAGACAAAGUACUAAUUAAGAGGACCCAGUCCACUGCCUCCACACAGAGGCAGUUAAAAAGUCUUCAUCUGUCAUAAAAGCCUCGGUGUCGGGACGUCAGAGAGCUGCUGAACUGGAACAACACAAAAACCAGAGAGCUGCACCGCUGGAGGGACGGACGAGGAACUGCUGAGGAAGUUGGGACAAAUUUAUUCAUAAGCUACACAUUUAGAUAAAUCGUGGCCUUUUCACUCCUCCAGUACGGUCCGUUUAUAAUAUUAGCUCAUUUAAAGCUAAUGUACCGAGCGUUAACAUUCUUACAAAGUGCACUAAAGUACUGAAACUAAAGUCCUUCAGCCAAUCACGGAUCACUUCCUCAGGCAGAACUACUGUUUAUUUACUAACUAACAGCCUGAUUCUUAAAUAUAAUAUUCAUAGGUUUGUUUCCAUUAGUGUAUAAUCACCUGAAUAUAGGAAUCAUUUUGAUGUUACCUUAGAAUGAGCUGGUUAUAUUUACAGAUAUUGCCUUUCAGGAAGCAACCAUGUUGAACUGCCAUGUUUCUACACUGGCACUAGAUUGGGUCGUUUUUCAUGCUUUUCAUGGCCACUGUAGUUUCUCCCUCACGCUUGGAAAGGGAG